UACAGCUAACCAAAGGACAAAAUUCAACAUUUUUUUAAUAAUUAUUGAUCUAGAGAGUCCACAGAAUAUUACUGCAGUGGUUUGGUUCCGAUCGGACAAAAAACCUAGGACUAGUUCGCAAAAGUAGGUUUUUAACAUAUUUGUGAAUAACAAUUGAACGAUUUGAUUGACAGCAAUGGUUCUUGAGGCAAAGUUGUGCAUUACGAGGAGAUCUAUCAAAUGAUAUGCAUAUUGUGUUGAUAUGUGAAACACCACGUGAUUACAGAGCCAUAAAACUCGUUAGCGCCAACUAGUGGCCGAUUUCUUUCAAAAUUCUUACAGACCUUAAGGUUCAUGAGUCGAACGUACCCAGCGAGUUUCGUUCCGAUCAACAUCCGUUAACCCUUUCAAAUAGGUGCUUAAAAUUGUUUGGCCAAUGGCGGCCAUGUUUUUUUUAGAUAUGCAAAUGUCCUCAUAUGUACUUGUGCCCCUUCAGACCGAGACAUUGCAUACCAAUUUUCAAGUCGAUCGAGGCAACAGUUGCCUAGUUAUAGCCAUUUAUGUGUUUUUUCUAUCUUAUAGCGCCCCCAAGUGGCAGAGAUGCGCAAUAUUUUUGAUUUGACCAAAGAUUGAGCUUAUACAUAUGUAUACCGAGUUUGGUGAAGAUAUCUCAUUCCGUUCAAGAGUUAUAGUUAAAAUAGCAUUUGGCUAACGUUAGCAUAGACACUUUUUGGUGUACUGUUUCGCGUAAGAAUUGAAAUUUCAACUUUUUUUUGAUAAUUAUUGAUAUUGAGUGUCCAGGGAAUAUUUAUGAAGUGGUUUGGUUCUGAUUGGUUGAAAAUCCUAGGACUAGUUCGCAAAAGUAGGUUUCGGAUAUAGCUCGAUUUUGCGAGAAAACGGUGCGUCGUAGACCCCAAAAAGGCGCCGUGCACUUUUGUUCGGGCUAACCCAAGGAUUGCAACAAUGCCAUGUUUUUGAGUCUAUGGCUAACGGUUUACACUUUACGGCCAAAAAUGUCCAAAAUUUUUGUUUUUUGCGCUGUAGCGCCCCCGUUAGGCCGAUUGGGCUGAGAGUUUGAUAAGUUCUCCCCAAAUUGAGCUCUACGAUCUGUCCAAAUUUCAGCUCUCUAGGCCUUACGGUUUGGGCUGCACGUUCAGUUCUAGGGCGGAAGAAUAAUAAUAAUAAUUAAAGCUGCAAGCAGCAUUUUACCGGGGUUCAAGCACAUUAAGGCCUCUGAGGUGGUCAGAGCCAACCUGGAUGCUUGGAUGACAUUUAAACACAUCCAAAAUGGAGAACAGGCUAACAGACAGACACACACACUGACAGCAAAUGAUUAGACUAAUAUAUGUAUACUCUAUAAGCAUAUGCACACACAAACACACACACAAAGACACACAUAUACAUGGACACACAUUUUGUUGCAGAUAUAGGUAUUUGACAUAAGUGAUAGGUGACAAUAAACUUAUUGCAAGUCUUCUCUUUUUUAGAGUUUAGAUGUCAUUUUCAGGUUAAACUGUAAUCAUAAUGUGGCAAAAUUGUAAAAACUGAUACAUCUGUAUGAACAAAAUGGAAAACAUUGACUCAAUGAGAUUUAAAAUGUUAUAAAAGUUCAUUUUUUAAUGUGUUGGCAUGA